GGGGAAUUUUGGACAAUGGGGGCAACCCUGAUCCAGCCAUGCCGCGUGAGUGAAGAAGGCCUUCGGGUUGUAAAGCUCUUUCGGACAGAAAGAAAUCGCCACUUCUAAUAAAGGUGGUGGAUGACGGUACUGUAAGAAGAAGCACCGGCUAACUACGUGCCAGCAGCCGCGGUAAUACGUAGGGUGCGAGCGUUAAUCGGAAUUACUGGGCGUAAAGCGUGCGCAGGCGGUUUUGUAAGACAGGUGUGAAAUCCCCGGGCUCAACCUGGGAACUGCACUUGUGACUGCAAGGCUAGAGUGCGGCAGAGGGGGGUAGAAUUCCACGUGUAGCAGUGAAAUGCGUAGAGAUGUGGAGGAAUACCGAUGGCGAAGGCAGCCCCCUGGGUCGACACUGACGCUCAUGCACGAAAGCGUGGGGAGCAAAC
rnacentral:rRNA from 1 species